GUUUAUUUUUGUACCAGAAUCGAAGUCUCCAUUUGGAGCAGGUUCUUAUUUAUCGCUUUAUUUAUUUAUUUCCCGCAUCGCUUUUAUUUUAUUUAUUUCCCGCAUUCGCUUUUAUUUUAUUUAUUUUUCGCACUCGCUUUACUUUAUUUAUUUCCCACGUCGCUUUUAUUUUAUUUAUUUCCCGCAUCGCUUUUACUUUAUUUAUUUUCCGCACUCGCUUUACUUUAUUUAUUUUCCG
rnacentral:lncRNA from 1 species